rnacentral:rRNA from 1 species
AGCAGUGGGGAAUAUUGGGCAAUGGGCGAAAGCCUGACCCAGCAACGCCGCGUGAGGGAAGAAGGCCUUCGGGUCGUAAACCUCUGUCCUUUGGGACGAAGGAAGUGACGGUACCAAAGGAGGAAGCCCCGGCUAACUACGUGCCAGCAGCCGCGGUAAUACGUAGGGGGCGAGCGUUGUCCGGAAUGAUUGGGCGUAAAGGGCGCGUAGGCGGCCUGUUAAGUCUGGAGUGAAAGUCCUGCUUUCAAGGUGGGAAUUGCUUUGGAUACUGAUGGGCUUGAGUGCAGGAGAGGUAAGCGGAAUUCCCGGUGUAGCGGUGAAAUGCGUAGAGAUCGGGAGGAACACCAGUGGCGAAGGCGGCUUACUGGACUGCAACUGACGCUGAGGCGCGAAAGUGUGGGGAGCAAACAGGAUUAGAUACCC